rnacentral:rRNA from 1 species
CACGUAGUUAGCCGGGGCUUCUUAGUCAGGUACCGUCAUUUUCUUCCCUGCUGAUAGAAGUUUACAUACCGAAAUACUUCAUCCUUCGCGCGGCGUCGCUGCAUCAGGGUUUCCCCCAUUGUGCAAUAUUCCCCACUGCUGCCUCCCGUAGGAGUUUGGGCCGUGUCUCAGUCCCAAUGUGGCCGUUCACCCUCUCAGGCCGGCUACUGAUCGUCGCCUUGGGUGGGCCGUUACCCCACCAACUAGCUAAUCAGACGCGGGUCCAUCUCAUACCACCGGAGUUUUUCACACUCGAUCAUGCGAUCACGUGUGCUUAUGCGGUAUUAGCAGUCAUUUCUAACUGUUAUCCCCCUGUAUGAGGCAGGUUACCCACGCGUUACUCCACCCGCCCGCCACUCAGUCACUUAACGCUUCCUUACCGAAGAACUUCCACUUCAAGCGUCUUCGUUCGACUUGCAGUGUGUUAAGCCACGCCGCCAGCGUUCAUCCGUGAGCCGAGAGUACAAACUCUUACG